rnacentral:lncRNA from 1 species
GGAACUCACGAGCAACUUCUCAGGAGGUCACCCAUCCUGGGAUUGCUCUGGCCACCUUCUCGCUUAACUUCGGAGUUCCUACGGAACCCGAAGCUAGUGAGCUCCCAAAAAACCUAUUGCUAGGUAAGGAUGAGAAUAUAUCACUUCCCGGUCCCUCUCCACCACCAUAGCACAAUAUUGUCCGCUUUGGGCCCCAACCACGCCUUCACGGUUUUGUUUCUAGGAACUCAUGAGCAACUUCCCAGGAGGUCACCCAUCCUGGGAUUGCUCUGGCCACCUUCUCGCUUAACUUAGGAGUUCCUACGGAACCGGAAGCCAGUGAGCUCCUAAAAAGCCUCGUGCUAGGUAGGGAUGAGAAUAUACAUUUAAGGAUCACUCCCUUGAGCGAUGUGGGAUGUUAUAAUCCACUCCCCUUAGGGGCCCGACGUCCUCGUUGGUACACUUCCGCCCAGGGAUUGGCUCUAAUACCAUUUGUCACAUCUCGGCCCG